UGUCCUUGAACAACACAACCCAUGGCCAAGUACUAGAAAUCGGAUCACAGAGAGAGAGAGAGAGAGAGACGAAUCAAUGACGGAGCCAAGACGACUGAGAGGACACAAGGCUACCGCCACCACCUGUAUCGCCGCCCGUGACCGCCCUGGCCUCGUCGCCACUUCCGGCGAGGAUGGGUGUAUUUGCUGGUUCUAUAUGCGGUGAGAUGUGUCAUUUGUCAUGAAUGUCGGGGAUAAUCCUAUCAUCACUCUGUUUCAAGCCAGGAGAAACAACUACCAUAUGAAGAGAACUUAACGGAAAUCCAUGAUUGCCUACUUUCCUUAUAUGUUGUUGGACUUCAAAUAACCUUGUACAAAUGUGCUACUGCCUUGAUGGUGUUUCUUGUUGAAAUCAACAGAUUUUAUGGAGUGGUGAAGUCUUAUGAUCCUCAAAAAAAGAAGCAUGUGGUAAGCUGUACUAUUCUGUCAUUUUUUAAAAGAAAAUUUAAUUUUAAAUACGCAUAGCUAGUCAUGCUUUGGAGAUGCUUUUCAUCAAUUUCAUUGGCGAAGGGGAUCUGCUAACCCCAUGAGAUGUAACGAUAAUUCCUUUAUACCUAUUCUCUUGGGUUGUGAGAGUUUUGCUUUCUUUAUAGACUAGGCAGCUUGCUUCUUGAAGCAUCUCAUUUAACCUUUUUGUAAUAUCUUCUAGCGUACGAAGGUUAGAUUCUAGUGUUUCCUAUGUGUGAAGCUACAAACUUGUAGUUCCCAUUGAAGCAAUAAAAUGUGCUUCAUUUCUGACUGACAUUGUUUUUUCUACACCAUUUACAGAAGCCAAUCUAGUCCAAUGUACCACUUGGCUUCACUUUUAACAUCUGUAGUACUCCACUAGUGGAUUAGAAUUUUUUUUGAGGUUAUUUUGCUGAUAUAUGAUCAGGUUGUUUGGAUUAUAAUUUUUUCUGAGGUUCUUUUGCUA